rnacentral:lncRNA from 1 species
GCUUAGCUUAAGUUAAGGUCAAUAUAUUAUUAUGGUGGGUAAGCACUGAGCAAAAAACUCCUUUGAAUAAAUAAAAUAUCAUAAUUCUACAGAUUAUGUGCACUGGAACAAAAUAUGUAAGCGCCCAUGUAUUAUCAAUGAAACUGUGACAGACAUAUAAGUGAAUCUGAAUUAGUUGAAAACUCUGCAAGAAAUACUAUAUGAGAUCCAACCAUAUAUAGGAUAUAAAUAAAAGGGACAUAUCAAGGUUGCACACUUAGUUUUAAAAAAAAAAGGUUGCACACUUGAAUAUACAGAUUUAUAGAUUAAAAUUACAUCUAUGUUAAAGGCAGAAAUCAUAUUCACUAUUUUUUAUAAGGUUAGAUGUGCGAGAUAUACUAAGAUAACGCAAGAAAUAUGAUACCAAAAAAAACGCAGCCUUAUUGAUAUAUUUACUUGUUGGAAUGCUUUAUAUGAACUACUAGCGAGGCUAAAAAUAGCUAAACCUCAACAUCAGUUCCCAAGGGAAAAUAAAACUGGCAACUUGUGCCUGUUUGGUUCCAUCCAGAAUGAGGAGCCACCAGACAAAAGUACUACAAAUUACAGAAGAUGGUGAACUGGUACUUGUCUGCUGGUGCUACAAGGAACGGUGUCAUGUCCAUCCACGUUAGCCAUCACUCUGUUACAAGUUGAUGGCUGGAUGUACUACAGAAUGUCAGCCACAUUGCCAAAUUUAUAACAGGUCCACGUUACCAAUUUAUACUUCCACAUCAAGGUCAUCCAGUAGAAAUGUAGAAGGAAUGGCAACAAGGCCAAGCCAAAUGCUUUCAUUCUUGUUCAAGUAGGACAGAGAACUACAUGGCUUGCAGAACAGGUUCAUGUGGGAUGUCUACAUGUCUUCGAAGUCCCCUCCCAGGAAGGGACUUCGUGUCAUCCCUGGGCAUACUUUAGCAACAUGGUAGUGAGCAUUCAACACAGAUAAUG